UAGGAAAUCAGGGUGACAUUUAAAGCUGAGGGUGCAUAGUGUCCCCCACCAGUGUUUCAGGGAGAAAUUUGAACUCGCAUUUGCACACAAACAGCAGGAUUUUAAGAGAGCCCAGGUGAAGGCGUCACCCUCAGAAUGGAAGGGGUGGGGAGAAGGGCCGGGGUGCAGUCUCAGGGAGGAGGUACCCUUAGCUGCAGAAUCACCGUCCUGCACGUGUGUACCUCUGCAAUGUGGUCAAAUAGAACGGCUGUGGACGCGACACCACCCAUUUGCCUUUUAAGUUAGCAAGCCCAAAGUAUGCUUUAAUGUUUACUUUUUAAGAUUUUUAGAAAAGGUAGAAGACGACUCUAUUUCCUAAUAUGGUAAUUACUGCUUUUGUCAAAAUGUGAAUGCUGCGUGCACAUUUCUGCAAUAGCAUUAGUGAACACCAUGUUGAAAUCACAUUUUUUUUUCCCUUUUCCUCCAAUUUUGUGGGAUUCUCGUUCCUUGUUGAGGCACCCUUGGCUAAUGGGAAAAGCACUGGAUCUGGUAGAGAAAAAGAAUUUGAAUCUCCUCUACCACUCUUCACUCAUGGGCUCUUGGGCAAAUUCCCUAAGUUUCCCUGACCUCCAGUUCCAGCAAGGUGGAAUGGGAAGUGGGGCCUCAUCAUAUGGGCAUUGCAGGACUGUUGUGAGGGUCAGAUGAAAUUAUGCAUCCAGAGGUUGGCACCAGAAUACAUUCAAUAAAUAUUAUUUUGGUGCCAUGCUAAGCGUCAGUUAAAAGUUUUAAGGGUUGGGCUGGGUGGUGGCUCAUGCCUGUAAUCCUAGCAUGUUGGGAAGGCAAGGCAGGAGGAUUCCUUGAGCCCAGGACUUAGACCAGUCUGGGCAACAUAGAGAGAUCCUGCUUCUAUAUAAAAAUUUUAAAAAUUAGCUGGACAUGGUGGGUGCAUUUGUAGUGCCAGCUACUCUGGAAGCUGAGGUAGAAGGAUUGCUUGAGCCCAGGAAUUUGAGGCUGCAGUGAGCCAUGAUUGUGUCACUGCACCCCAGCCUGGGCAAGAGUGAGACUUUGUCUCAAAAACAAAGUGUUAAGACUUAAAGUAAUAUAUGAAUUUACAAAUAUUUCUGCAGAUUCCUAGCUUAAGAAAAGAAUGAAAUUAAUGUAAUCCUAAAAUAGUUUAAGUAAAGGAUAGAGUGCUAGAAAGGGGAGACUCCAAGCUCUGUCGUGUCCACAUCAUACUGUGGAUCUUGGCUAAGUCAUUUCUCUUCUCUGGGGUUGCUGUGGUCUGAAGGUUUGUGUUUCCCCCAAAUUCAUAUGUUAAAAUUCUAACCCUCAAGGUGAUAGUAUUAGGAGGUGAUUAGGUCAUAUGGGUGGAGCCCUCAUCAAUGGGAUUAGUGCCCUUAUAAAAGGAGCCCCAGAGUAAUCCCUCAUCCCUUCUGUCACGCGAGGACACAGUGAAAAGAUGGCCAUCUCUGAACCAGGGAGAGGAUCCUCACCAGACACCAAAUCUGAUGUCUUGAUCUUGGACUUCUUAGCCUUCAAAAUGGGACAGGUCAAUACCCAGGCUACUCCCAUAGAGCAGUGUUAUGUGGGUGAAAGUAUACUCACCUGAAAGCCAGGAGACCUGCCACCAGCCAGUUCUGCUAGCAGCUGAGUCACCUGAGCAGUCAUUUCACCUUUCCUCAUCCCUGUAAAGUCUCUUUCAGUCCCAAAUGCAGCUGGAGAAAGGGUUCAAUCUAGUAAAUGCUUCAGCCUUUGUUCUGUAAAGCAAAAAUGAGUUAAUCCAUGAAAAAUGCUUAGAGCAGUGUCUGUCUGCAUGUGGUAGCUGCCUUAUAAAUAUUAGCCAUUAGAAUCAUCAUUAUCAUUAUGCCAAGAGCACUAAAACCAUGGCAGCGUAGAGCUGAAUUUAAAGACUUAGUUUGGGAUGGAGUCAGAAUGAGAACCCAAGGGCUCAGAUUUCCAGUUCGGGGCUCUUUGGCCUCUUGCUUCCUCUGAAGGUUCUCAGGAUUCCUCAGGGAAUUGUGUAUGGCUCACUCACCUCUGCUGACGAUGGAAUAAAGGACACAGUCUUCACUUCAUAAUGUCACACACAUUUAUUGAUAAUCUGGGCCAGGAUUAGAAAGAUGAUAUUGCUAUGAGAAACAGGUCUGGGUAGCAGAUGUUUUAAGUGGUUAAACAGUUCACCUUAACAGAUUUCCCAGGGGAAGGUGGGGGUGUGCUCUGUCUGAAUUGUUUAUAAGAGAGGGCUCCAUACAGGAUGACACUGGAGUGAAACCUGGAAGGACAGUUAGGAUUGUCCAGACAGGGAUGAGCAGGAAGACACCAGGCCGAGGAAGCUGCAUGGACUGCAGUGUGGAGCCUCGAAUGCCUGGCACAUUGGGGUUGUGUGAUUUGUGUAGCAGGGGCAUGGAGAGUGUGUGCAGUGAAGUGGCAGGUGAUGAGGCCAGAAAGGUAGGCUGGGGCAGAUUCUGGAGGGCCUGCUAUGCCAAGCCAGGAAGCAUAGACAUCCUCCCGCUGGGCUGCAGCAUCCCAGCUGUGUCCG
rnacentral:lncRNA from 10 species